UACGGGAGGGGCAAGCGUUGUUCGGAAUUACUGGGCGUAAAGGGCUCGCAGGCGGCCGACUACGUCAGACGUGAAAUCCCUUGGCUUAACCAAGGAAUGGCGUCUGAUACUGGACGGCUUGAAUUCGGGAGAGGGAUGUGGAAUUCCAGGUGUAGCGGUGAAAUGCGUAGAUAUCUGGAGGAACACCGGUGGCGAAGGCGGCAUCCUGGACCGAUAUUGACGCUGAGGAGCGAAAGCCAGGGGAGCAAACGGG
rnacentral:rRNA from 1 species